UGCCAGCAGCCGCGGUAAUACAGAGGGUGCGAGCGUUAAUCGGAUUUACUGGGCGUAAAGCGUGCGUAGGCGGCUUUUUAAGUCGGAUGUGAAAUCCCCGAGCUUAACUUGGGAAUUGCAUUCGAUACUGGGCUAGAGUAUGGGAGAGGAUGGUAGAAUUCCAGGUGUAGCGGUGAAAUGCGUAGAGAUCUGGAGGAAUACCGAUGGCGAAGGCAGCCUCU
rnacentral:rRNA from 1 species